AGCGAAAUAAUAGUAGCGAAGUUCCUGAUGUCACACUGCCAAGAAAAGCUUCUAGUGAGAAAACAACUGCCCGUACCGUAAACCGACACAGGUAGUCGAGGAGAGUAUCCUAAGGUGAGCGAGCGAACUCUCGUUAAGGAACUCGGCAAAAUGACCCCGUAACUUCGGGAGAAGGGGUGCUGACGACCGUCAGCCGCAGUGAAUAGGCCCAAGCGACUGUUUAUCAAAAACACAGGUCUCUGCAAAAUCGUAAGAUGAAGUAUAGGGGCUGACGCCUGCCCGGUGCUGGAAGGUUAAGAGGAUGGGUUAGCUUCGGCGAAGCUCAGAAUUGAAGCCCCAGUAAACGGCGGCCGUAACUAUAACGGUCCUAAGGUAGCGAAAUUCCUUGUCGGGUAAGUUCCGACCCGCACGAAAGGCGUAACGAUUUGGGCACUGUCUCAACGAGAGACUCGGUGAAAUUUUAGUACCUGUGAAGAUGCAGGUUACCCGCGACAGGACGGAAAGACCCCAUGGAGCUUUACUGUAGUUUGAUAUUGAGUGUUUGUACCACAUGUACAGGAUAGGUAGGAGCCGAUGAGACCGGAACGCUAGUUUCGGAGGAGGCGCUGGUGGGAUACUACCCUUGUGUUAUGAACCCUCUAACCCGCACCACUAAUCGUGGUGGGAGACAGUGUCAGAUGGGCAGUUUGACUGGGGCGGUCGCCUCCUAAAAGGUAACGGAGGCGCCCAAAGGUUCCCUCAGAAUGGUUGGAAAUCAUUCGAAGAGUGUAAAGGCAGAAGGGAGCUUGACUGCGAGACCUACAAGUCGAGCAGGGACGAAAGUCGGGCUUAGUGAUCCGGUGGUUCCGCAUGGAAGGGCCAUCGCUCAACGGAUAAAAGCUACCCUGGGGAUAACAGGCUUAUCUCCCCCAAGAGUCCACAUCGACGGGGAGGUUUGGCACCUCGAUGUCGGCUCGUCGCAUCCUGGGGCUGUAGUCGGUCCCAAGGGUUGGGCUGUUCGCCCAUUAAAGCGGCACGCGAGCUGGGU
rnacentral:rRNA from 1 species